rnacentral:rRNA from 1 species
GACGAACGCUGGCGGCGUGCUUAACACAUGCAAGUCGAACGGUGAACCACUUCGGUGGGGAUCAGUGGCGAACGGGUGAGUAACACGUGGGCAACCUGCCCUUAGCUCUGGGAUAACCCCGGGACCGGGGCUAAUACCGGAUACGACCUCGAGCGGCAUCACUCGAGGUGGAAAGAACUUCGGCUAAGGAUGGGCCCGCGGCCUAUCAGCUUGUUGGUGGGGUAACGGCCUACCAAGGCGA